CAGGAGGCUAUCUCGACGGAGAGAAAAGCGGCAACGCCUUACCGCCUGCCUCAAUCCCUUUCAGUAAGG
rfam:Erwinia tracheiphila strain BuffGH Etrach_2, whole genome shotgun sequence.